AUUGAACGCUGGCGGCAGGCCUAACACAUGCAAGUCGAACGAGUGGCGGACGGGUGAGUACUGUCUGGGAAACUGCCUGAUGGAGGGGGAUAACUACUGGAAACGGUAGCUAAUACCGCAUACCAUCAGAUGUGCCCAGAUGGGAUUAGCUAGUUGGUGUGGUAACGGCUCACCAAGGCGACGAUCCCUAGCUGGUCUGAGAGGAUGACCAGCAACACUGGAACUGAGACACGGUCCAGACUCAUACGGGAGGCAGCAGGGGGGAAUAUUGCACAAGGGGCGAAAGCCUGAGGCAGCCAUGCGGGGUGUAUGAAGAAGGCCUUAGGGUUGUAAAGUACUUUCAGCGGGGAGGCGUUACCCGCAGAAGAAGAACCGGCUAACUCCGUGCCAGCAGCCGCGGUAAUUC
rnacentral:rRNA from 1 species